UUGUGAAGUAAACCUUAGGGUAUGUCGAUUUUGUUUGGCCUACAGACUGCUUUGAUGGAGAUAACUUGCGCAUGGAUUGCGGUACUCUCUGUGUACGAGAAUGUGGCCGUAGGUGAUUGAUUAGCUUCUCGACAUUGAUUGGUGAUGUGUGCGUGAGCAUCGAUUGUGGAAGCUGUGAUAGGUGGUGGAAAUUAGGUCUGUCUGAGAAGUGGUAGAUGCUUAAUUCAUGUAAACGAACUCUGUGAUUGCUCAAAUAUAAUCAAACUGCUUGACGGCUUACUGCGAAGGCAACUUGGGUGUCAUCCGAUGAACCACGCCUCCGCCGUUGCCUCCGCCGUUGCUUCUUAGUGCCCAUCAGUGAAGCAAAUCCGUCAAAUGGAAGCAGGAAAGCUGAGUAGACCCAGUCAAAAACAUUACACCAUCGGAUAAGGUGGUGGAGAGUGACAAAAGGAAGAGGGAGGCUGAAGAGAUGGGCGAUGCCAUCAAGUCUUGGAGACUAGGACAUUGGAUUCUAAGAGAAUGAGAUGGAUAUUCUCACCUAAUUGAUGAAAGAGGGGUAAAACGCUUCAUCUGAUCUCAAGCAUUUCCGAUUCAUUCUUCAAGCUAACCAUUUUAUCAAGAAACCACGGCUUCAUCUGAUUUUAAGCAGUUUGAUUAUAUUUGAGCAAUGACAGAGUUCGUCUACUUGAA